CCUACGGGAGGCUGCAGUGGGGAAUAUUGGACAAUGGGGGAAACCCUGAUCCAGCAAUGCCGCGUGUGUGAAGAAGGCCUGCGGGUUGUAAAGCACUUUCGGUUGGGAAGAAAAGUUUGGCGCCAAUACCGCCGAACCUUGACGUUACUGACAGAAGAAGCACCGGCUAACUCUGUGCCAGCAGCCGCGGUAAUACAUAGGGGGCAAGCGUUAAGCGGAACCACUGGGCGUGGUCAGUGCGGACGGGGGUGAAAUCCCCGGGCUUAACCUGGGAACUGCAUUCGAUACUACAUGGCUAGAGUAUGGUAGAGGGAAGUGGAAUUUCCGGUGUAGCGGUGAAAUGCGUAGAGAUCGGAAGGAACACCAAUGGCGAAGGCAGCUUCCUGGACUAAUACUGACACUGAGGCACGAAAGCGUGGGUAGCAAACAGGAUUAGAUACCCCGGUAGUC
rnacentral:rRNA from 1 species